GACGAACGCUGGCGGCGUGCUUAACACAUGCAAGUCGAACGGAAAGGCCCUGCUUUUGUGGGGUGCUCAAGUGGCGAACGGGUGAGUAACACGUGAGUAACCUGCCCUUGACUUUGGGAUAACUUCAGGAGACUGGGGCUAAUACCGGAUAGGAGCUCCUGCUGCAUGGUGGGGGUUGGAAAGUUUCGGCGGUUGGGGAUGGACUCGCGGCUUAUCAGCUUGUUGGUGGGGUAGUGGCUUACCAAGGCUUUGACGGGUAGCCGGCCUGAGAGGGUGACCGGCCACAUUGGGACUGAGAUACGGCCCAGACUCCUACGGGAGGCAGCAGUGGGGAAUAUUGCACAAUGGGCGGAAGCCUGAUGCAGCAACGCCGCGUGCGGGAUGACGGCCUUCGGGUUGUAAACCGCUUUCGCCUGUGACGAAGCGUGAGUGACGGUAAUGGGUAAAGAAGCACCGGCUAACUACGUG
rnacentral:rRNA from 1 species